GACGAAAUGAAUGCAUUGAAGCCAGAAACUCUUGAAACACUACAACAUCACGAACAGAGUGAUAUAUCUUCAAUACACUAGCCUAUAAAAUAAUUCAAAACUUGUAAAUAGAUAAAACUUUAUUUUUUUAUAUUUCCUUAACUGUUAUUGUAAAAAAUGCUUUAGCAAUACCUGUAAAUUUUUUGGGGUCAUGCUAAUAAAGCUAAUUUAAAGUAAAAUAGUAAAGGAAGAUGUUUAAGGACAAGGUUUGGUGAGCAUCGGUGUGCAGUUAUUGGCAAUGAUGCUAACCAACCUGUUGCCAGACAUUUUAAUAAUGGCAAUCACAGUGUUUCAGAUAUGGUAAUUCGAGCCCUCUGUCCCAUUUCUGGAAGCAACGAUAGCCGCAAACAACACGAAAUGCGCCUCAUAUCCAAACUUGGCACUGUUCACCCUUCUGGUAUUAAUGAACGCUUUUCCUAUAUUUGAUUCCUUCUGUCCUUGCCUGUCUAUAGCAGACAUUGACAACAUUUAUCUAUUUAUUACUUUUACCUUAUUCCCACUUUUGUUUUGUUUUGAUUUUUUAUUAUUUGUAGUAAUUGUCUUAGCUUCCUGUUUAUUUUUAUAUUAUUUUUAUAUAUUUUUUAUUAUAUUAUAUUCUGUAAUGCGAUUUACAUAUUUUGUUUACACUUUGUUAUGAUUAUAAAGUGGUUUAUUUUUUGUCACGUGAUGCUUUCAUACUCUUAGUAUAAAAGCCCGUACAUUUUCCCCGAUCCCUGCUAUUAACUCUUGACGAAGGACCUUCGCUCGAAACGUCGAGUUUCUGCUUAUUUUUUAAGGUAGUAAUAUAACCACUCACCACAGCUUUUUAGUAAUGUGUAAUCACUCACAUGAAUGGACCUUGGCUACGUGUAGCCUUUUAG